ACUCUGGUGAGACUGCCGGUGACAAACCGGAGGAAGGUGGGGAUGACGUCAAAUCAUCAUGCCCCUUAUGACCUGGGCUACACACGUGCUACAAUGGAUGGUACAACGAGUUGCGAACUCGCGAGAGUAAGCUAAUCUCUUAAAGCCAUUCUCAGUUCGGAUUGUAGGCUGCAACUCGCCUACAUGAAGUCGGAAUCGCUAGUAAUCGCGGAUCAGCAUGCCGCGGUGAAUACGUUCCCGGGCCUUGUACACACCGCCCGUCACACCAUGAGAGUUUGUAACACCCAAAGUCGGUGGGGUAACCUUUUAGGAACCAGCCGCCUAAGGUGGGACAGAUGAUU
rnacentral:rRNA from 1 species